rnacentral:rRNA from 1 species
GUGGGGAAUAUUGGACAAUGGGCGAAAGCCUGAUCCAGCCAUGCCGCGUGUGUGAAGAAGGUCUUCGGAUUGUAAAGCACUUUAAGUUGGGAGGAAGGGCAUUAACCUAAUACGUUAGUGUUUUGACGUUACCGACAGAAUAAGCACCGGCUAACUUCGUGUCAGCAGCCGCGGUAAUACGAAGGGUGCAAGCGUUAAUCGGAAUUACUGGGCGUAAAGCGCGCGUAGGUGGUUCGUUAAGUUGGAUGUGAAAGCCCCGGGCUCAACCUGGGAACUGCAUCCAAAACUGGCGAGCUAGAGUACGGUAGAGGGUGGUGGAAUUUCCUGUGUAGCGGUGAAAUGCGUAGAUAUAGGAAGGAACACCAGUGGCGAAGGCGACCACCUGGACUGAUACUGACACUGAGGUGCGAAAGCGUGGGGAGCAAACAGGAUUAGAUACCCCAGUAGUCC